GAGUUUGAUCCUGGCUCAGAACGAACGCUGGCGGCGUGCUUAACACAUGCAAGUCGAACGGAUUUGAGGGGCUUGCUCCUCAAGUUAGUGGCGCACGGGUGAGUAACGCGUAGAUAAUCUGCCUGAUGAUCUGGGAUAACACUUCGAAAGGGGUGCUAAUACCGGAUAAGCCCACGGGGUCUUUGGAUUCUGCGGGAAAAGGGGGGGACUUUCGGGCCUUCUGUCAUCAGAUGAAUCUGCGUACCAUUAGCUAGUUGGUAGGGUAAUGGCCUACCAAGGCUACGAUGGUUAGCUGGUUUGAGAGAAUGAUCAGCCACACUGGAACUGAGACACGGUCCAGACUCCUACGGGAGGCAGCAGUGGGGAAUUUUGCGCAAUGGGCGAAAGCCUGACGCAGCAACGCCACGUGAGUGAUGAAGGCUUUCGGGUCGUAAAGCUCUGUCGAGGGGAAAGAAGUGUAUUGUGGCUAAUAUCCACGAUACUUGACGGUACCCCUAAAGGAAGCACCGGCUAACUCCGUGCCAGCAGCCGCGGUAAUAC
rnacentral:rRNA from 1 species